rnacentral:misc_RNA from 1 species
AUCAUUCUUUUGCUGGUCAUCAUCUUGUUCGUGGUGUUGUUCACUGUGAGACCAUGGGAAAACAAUGGCGGUGGUGGUAGCAGCCAGCCAGCCCCUGCGCAGAAUCCACCUCCACCGCCCUCACCGGCGUAGGAUUUGAUGGGUUUGUAGCUCUAUACAUGCUGAUCAUAUGAACAUAUGUUAUAUUUUGUGGGAUAUUUUUUAAUCAACAAAACAAUAAUCAAGUUUCAAA